ACCCUAAACUCGUUCACCACGUUCUCCUCCUUGAUCUCCUCCAUCGUUUUACACUUUCUUCAAACCCACGGAAGAGUUUCCAAAAAUAGCAAAAAAAAUCGGACGAGAACCGAACAAACCCUACAAGCCAAAGCUCCAAACUUGAGAAAAGGGAGAAGCAGAAACAACACAAACCCUAAAAUUCCGUAGAAAACAGAGGAGGGUUAGUGAAAAUGAGUUAUAAAGGAAACAACUUUAAUCGAGAAAACGAGUUUGAACCAACAAUGGGAAGAGAAAUUGUAUCGUCAGUAAAGCUUCUGAGGAGAGUGAAGAGAAAGGAGAGACCUUUUGUUUAGUUGUGCGAAGACGACGACUAGAAUCAACGAACGGUGUUGUGUCUUCUCUUCUUCCUUCUCUUACAGUUUUUUGACAGAGACAGAGUAAUUAUCAAUCGGUU
rnacentral:lncRNA from 1 species